rnacentral:rRNA from 1 species
GCUGGCGGCAGGCCUAACACAUGCAAGUCGAGCGGUAGAGAGAAGCUUGCUUCUCUUGAGAGCGGCGGACGGGUGAGUAAUGCCUAGGAAUCUGCCUGGUAGUGGGGGAUAACGUUCGGAAACGGACGCUAAUACCGCAUACGUCCUACGGGAGAAAGCAGGGGACCUUCGGGCCUUGCGCUAUCAGAUGAGCCUAGGUCGGAUUAGCCAGUUGGUGAGGUAAUGGCUCACCAAGGCGACGAUCCGUAACUGGUCUGAGAGGAUGAUCAGUCACACUGGAACUGAGACACGGUCCAGACUCCUACGGGAGGCAGCAGUGGGGAAUAUUGGACAAUGGGCGAAAGCCUGAUCCAGCCAUGCCGCGUGUGUGAAGAAGGUCUUCGGAUUGUAAAGCACUUUAAGUUGGGAGGAAGGGUUGUAGAUUAAUACUCCGCAAUUUUGACGUUACCGACAGAAUAAGCACCGGCUAACUCUGUGCCAGCAGCCGCGGUAAUACAGAGGGUGCAAGCGUUAAUCGGAAUUACUGGGCGUAAAGCGCGCGUAGGUGGUUUGUUAAGUUGGAUGUGAAAUCCCCGGGCUCAACCUGGGAACUGCAUUCAAAACUGACUGACUAGAGUAUGGUAGAGGGUGGUGGAAUUUCCUGUGUAGCGGUGAAAUGCGUAGAUAUAGGAAGGAACACCAGUGGCGAAGGCGACCACCUGGACUAAUACUGACACUGAGGUGCGAAAGCGU